rnacentral:rRNA from 1 species
GUAGGUGGCAAGCGUUGUCCGGAAUUAUUGGGCGUAAAGCGCGCGCAGGCGGUCCUUUAAGUCUGAUGUGAAAGCCCACGGGCUCAACCGUGGAGGGUCAUUGGAAACUGGAGGACUUGAGUACAGAAGAGGAAAGCGGAAUUCCAAGUGUAGCGGUGAAAUGCGUAGAGAUUUGGAGGAACACCAGUGGCGAAGGCGGCUUUCUGGUCUGUAACUGACGCUGAGGCGCGAAAGCGUGGGGAGCAAACAGGAUUAGAUACCCUGGUAGUCCACGCCGUAAACGAUGAGUGCUAAGUGUUAGGGGGUUUCCGCCCCUUAGUGCUGCAGCUAACGCAUUAAGCACUCCGCCUGGGGAGUACGGCCGCAAAGGCUG